CGAACGCUGGCGGCGUGCCUAACACAUGCAAGUCGAGCGAGAAAGAGGACUUCGGUCCUUAAGUACAGCGGCGAACGGGUGCGUAACACGUAGGCAAUCUGUCCUCGGGAUGGGGAUAACCCAGCGAAAGUUGGGCUAAUACCCAAUAAGACCACGGAGAGUUAUUUCUGAGGUCAAAGGGUGCUUCUUUUGGGAGCAUCCGCUAGGGGAGGAGCCUGCGGCCUAUCAGCUUGUUGGUAGGGUAAUGGCCUACCAAGGCAAAGACGGGUAGCUGGUCUGAGAGGAUGACCAGCCACACGGGGACUGAGACACGGCCCCGACUCCUACGGGAGGCAGCAGUGGGGAAUAUUGGGCAAUGGGGGAAACCCUGACCCAGCGACGCCGCGUGGGUGAUGAAGGCUUUCGGGUCGUAAAGCCCUGUCAAGAGGAAAGAAUGUCUUUAAGGCAAAUAGCCUUAAGGGAUGACGGUACCUCUGAAGGAAGCACCGGCCAACUCCGUGCCAGCAGCCGCGGUAAGACGGAGGGUGCAAGCGUUGCUCGGAAUCAUUGGGCGUAAAGGGUGCGUAGGCGGCUUCUUAAGUCUGACGUGAAAGCCCAGGGCUCAGCCUUGGAAGUGCGUUAGAAACUGAGAAGCUCGAGUGCCGGAGGGGAGAGUGGAAUUCCUGGUGUAGCGGUGAAAUGCGUAGAUAUCAGGAGGAAUACCGGUGGCGAAGGCGGCUCUCUGGGGACCAUCUGACGCUGAGGCGCGAAAGCGUGGGGAGCGAACCGGAUUAGAUACCCGGGUAGUCCACGCCGUAAACGAUGAGCACUAGGUGCCGUGGGUAUUGACCCCCGCGGUGCCGCAGCUAACGCAUUAAGUGCUCCGCCUGGGGACUACGGCC
rnacentral:rRNA from 1 species